UCACCCCUAGAAUAAAUUGAGAAAAUGCUUGAUUGCAUUAUAUUUGUCAAGAAUUGAAAUGAUAAUGAAUGAAUGAAUAUGUGCUUAAAAGAAUCUUACAUUCAUUUGAAAGAAAAUAUAAGAUGAUGAAAAAACCUAGAGGAGAUGAUUUAGAAGGAUAUAUGAUGUGAUCAAAUGAAGAAAUGGGGCAGUGAUACAAUCAAGUGAUGAGUACAAGGAUGAAUUGGUUGAAUGGUGGGAACAAUCAGUGGACAGAGUUUGUUUUGGAAUGGUUAAUGCUGAGACA
rnacentral:lncRNA from 1 species